UAGGGAAUAUUGCUUAAUGGGCGAAAGCCUGAAGCAGCAACGCCGCGUGUGCGAUGAAGGCCUUCGGGUUGUAAAGCACUUUUCGAGGGGAUGAGGAAGGACAGUACCCUUGGAAUAAGUCUCGGCUAACUACGUGCCAGCAGCCGCGGUAAAACGUAGGAGACGAGCGUUAUCCGGAUUUACUGGGCGUAAAGCGCGUGUAGGCGGUCUGGAAAGUUGGAUGUGAAAGCUCCCGGCUUAACUGGGAGAGGUCGUUCAAAACUACCGGACUAGAGUGCGGGAGAGGGAGGUGGAAUUCCGGGUGUAGUGGUGAAAUGCGUAGAUAUCCGGAGGAACACCAGUGGCGAAAGCGGCCUUCUGGCCCGCAACUGACGCUCAGACGCGAAAGCUAGGGGAGCAA
rnacentral:rRNA from 1 species